UACGUAGGCAGCGAGCGUUGUUCGGAAUUACUGGGCGUAAAGAGUGUGUAGGCGGUGCUCUAAGUCUGUCGUGAAAUCUCCCGGCUCAACUGGGAGGGUGCGCUACAAACUGUCUGACUAGAGUGUGGGAUGGGUAAGUGGAAUUCCUGGUGUAGCGGUGAAAUGCGUAGAUAUCAGGAGGAACACCGGUGGUGUAGACGGCUUACUGGACCAUAACUGACGCUGAGAACACG
rnacentral:rRNA from 1 species